GUUAAUUGAUUCUUCUGCUGUCCCUUAGAAAUGUAUUUGUAGAAUUUUAAAGCAAAGCACAUCUCAGACCUUGUUGGAAAUUCAAAGUUGUUUGGAUUUCAGAAUAAUGGGAACUAUAGUUACAUUGUUUAUUUUCUCUUUCAUUGCUUUUGUAACCCUUUUAAGCAAUAACUACCUAACAGGCAUGGGAUUAGGCACUGAAGAUAAAAUAUUCUGUGCCCUCAAAUAUUUUAUGUACAUACAUAGAGUGUAUGUGUUAAUUGUUAGUCCUGUUUUAGAAACAAUGCCCCUUAGGAAGUCCUCCAUCUUAGGAGGAUUCCCAAAAGAAGGAUGGUUUCUGUUCUUGAAUUACAAUUUUAUGCCCUAUCUACCCUCCACCCCAUCUCUAUUUAGUGAAGUAGUUGUAAUCUACGUAUGCCAGCCCUCAUAGCCUCACUCCUGUAACUCAACUGUAGAGUCCAUAAAACCAGGCUCAUUGCAAACACAGCAGUGGCAGCUGACAGGUGUUUACCAGAUAUCUAUGAUGCAGAAUUUUAUGGGGGAUGAAGAAGUCAAGAAUUUGCUGCAGACUUGUCAGAGGCAAGUUGCAUACAUUGCCCAUGACAAUGAUCUCUGUCCUACUGCAUCUUAUAAACUGAGUAUACCACUUUGACUGUCAUCACAACAAUUUGUGUGACAGCAAACACCACAUGACCACCAGGUGUUUUAUAUCAGUAAAAUAUUAUUACGUACAGACAUUGCUAGAAAAUAUUUCCCAAUCUGAGGACUGACUAUAAAAUUUGAUCUCCCAGUGAUGACCUUGCCACAAAUGUGGCAUCACCUGGGGACUUGGGAGCCGAUAUGUGAGCUUUGCCUAUAUAUCUACUUCUAAUUGAUUUUUCUGAACCUUGGUUUGGGGGGUGUGGCAGUAGGGAGUUGGUCAGGAGGGCUGUUUCUUGUCCUUUCUAUGAUCUGAUUCAGUUCCCACCCCAUUUGUAUCUGGAUCUUCCCUUUCCUUUACCCUUUUUGUCCCUGUCCUGUUUAAUAUGGAUUUUUAUUCCCAAGGGAGUCUCCUCAAAGCAGAGAUGUAUCCUGGAAGGGAACUUCAGCUGGUGAAGUUUGAGAACUCAUAGGGCCCACCUGCUCAAAUCCCUUCAUCACUUAAGGUAAACUUUUUGUACAACAGCAGUUUGUCUGCUGUUGUCUGUGGUCCUCUGCAUUUUCAGUGAGUACCUUUGGGUGACUUGGGAGUUCCUCAGUUCUUAGGCCUAUUAGCUACCCAAAGCUUCCUUCUGCUGCUUCCUACAAAGAUGAUGUUUAUGCGGUGGGAGUCUUAUAGCCAUCAGUGGCUUAUCACACACUCUCAGAUUUGGAAAUUCUUGGGUGUCAGAUCCAAGAGAACUUCCUCUUCAAAAGUUUAGUUUGUUUAGUUUCUUUGUUCUCUGCUUUCAAGGUCCAACUUCCUUAUCCUUUGUGCCUCCCUGCUCCUAGUUCCAGUAAACAACUCUCCUGCCAGUCCUUAAUCUACAGAGCCCACAUCUACUACUCUAAUUUACCCCUCCCACUGUGACGGCUCUUCCCCCCAAAGCUGUCUUUCAAGUUAGCCAAUCGUGUUCAGUUUAGAUUGUGCAGUCCAACUUCAGCCAACGGAGACAGGACACAGUAGUAGAGACAAGCUGCGUUAGGAAUAAAAACCCUUCUCUCCUUUGUUCAGUGUGCUCUUGCAAUCAGACAGAUGCAGGCAGCACCCUUCUGCAACAGUAAAUUUGCCUUGUUAAAAAAUUUUCUGUCUAAGUGCUGGUUUCUCACUGCGGCACCAAGCACUUGUUACUAACAUUGGGGAUAAUUUAUCACAUGGUUUUGUUGUAGAUGUUGUCUGUGGGUUUUUGUUUUUUUCAUUUUAUUUAAGACUAGUCAAGUGUAGUAGUGAGAAAAGGGAAGAAGUAGAAACAAGGAGUUUGAUCUGUGACUGAACGAUCAAUUCAAACAGCUCCCUUCAUACCAGCCUUUUUUUUCUAUUUUCUCUUUUUUAUUUUAUUUUUAUUAUUAUUAUUAUUAUUUGAGAUGGAGUCCCUCUGUGUCGCUCCGACUCAUCUCAAACUCCUGGGUUCAAGUGAUCUUCCUGCCUCAGCCUCCCCAGGAGCUGUGAUUACAGGCAUAUAUUGCUGUACCCAUUUGCCACUUUUGUUGCUGUUUUUAUGUGGGAUGGAGGUGAUGGAUUGGAAAGAUUUUUAAAAUCAUGUGAUUACCAUCAUAUGAGAAUUUUCCUACGUCUUUUAGAGAAUUGCAUAUUGAAUAUAUUUUAAUGUACUUAUAUGUACUUAUUCAUCAUUCAUAUAUCUUCUUCGGUAAAGUGCCUGUUCAAAUAUUUUGCCCAUUUUAAAAGUGUGUUGUAUA
rnacentral:lncRNA from 1 species